AUUGAACGCUGGCGGCAUGCUUUACACAUGCAAGUCGAACGGUAACAGGCCGCAAGGUGCUGACGAGUGGCGAACGGGUGAGUAAUGCAUCGGAACGUGCCCAGUCGUGGGGGAUAACGCAGCGAAAGCUGCGCUAAUACCGCAUACGAUCUAUGGAUGAAAGCGGGGGACCGUAAGGCCUCGCGCGCUUGGAGCGGCCGAUGUCAGAUUAGGUAUUUGGUGGGGCAAAGGCUCACCAAGCCAACGAACUGGAGCUGGUCUGAGAGGAAGACCAGACACACGGGGACUGAGACACGGCCCAGACUCCUACGGGAGGCAGCAGUGGGGAAUUUUGGACAAUGGGAGCAAGCCUGAUCCAGCAAUGCCGCGUGCAGGAAGAAGGCCUUCGGGUUGUAAACUGCUUUUGUACGGAACGAAACGCUCCUGGUUAAUACCCGGGGCUAAUGACGGUACCGUAAGAAUAAGCACCGGCUAACUACGUGCCAGCAGCCGCCGUAACAC
rnacentral:rRNA from 1 species